UCGUCGCCUCAGCGCGAACGCAAACGGGCGCCACCGCUCGAACCCGACGCCCCGCGCGCGCGAACGCGGAGGCCGCCGUGGCCGCGCGCGGCAUCGCCGUCAGCGCAAGCAGGCAAGAGCGCGCGGCGCGGCGCGGCCCGGCCCGGCCGAUCUUUUUAAUCGUCAAACCGGCGGCGUAGCGGGUCCGUUCGCUCCGGGAUUGUGGCUGAGUUCACUUGCUCUAUUCGUCAGUCAACUUUGUGGCCCAUAAAGUUGCGUUCGCCAUCUUGGUCUGAACUGGAAAUGGCCUACUUCCCUGAGAGAGGAACAUUCAGUGGGGAACUUUUUCGGAAGAGAAUUGAGUAAACGCCUGAAAAGGAGAAAGGAAAAAAAAUGCAUCGUCUCCCUUACCUCCGAGUUAUCGGCAUAUGUACCGCUCCUGUCGUUGCUGAAGGAGACUCACUGGACCUGAAACGUUUAACUCUAUUUCUCUCCUCCACCAACCCCAAGAUGCUGCCAGACCUGCUGAGUUUCUCCAGCAAUUUCUGUUUUUGCUGAAGAUAAAAACGCACAGUUUUGACGCAGGAUCUGGGACUAACUCUUUCCAAGUGAAAUGGAUUAUAUUAGAUGCUCCUACGUUGCAGUUUACAGCUUGUUUUAAGAUACAGAUGUGACUACUGUUUGAAAAUGGUAACUGGCAAAGAAAAAGUCACCUGUGUGUUUAUGGUUAGCAGGAUCGAAGUCCAUUACAGCCGAGAAGGGAGUCUGCUGUUCAUCAUAGAAAAAUGACAUUACAUAGUAACUCAAUGAUUGGAUGAAUAGGUUUUUAGGAAAUUCAUUCAGUAAAUAAUAAAAAAGGUUGGGGAUGCCUUGAA